AGUGGCGGACGGGUGAGUAACGCGUGAGAAUCUGCCUUGGGGUCGGGGACAACCACUGGAAACGGUGGCUAAUACCGGAUAAGCCGAUUGGUGAAAGAUUUAUUGCCCGAAGAGGAGCUCCCGUCUGAUUAGCUAGUUGGUGAGGUAAGAGCUCACCAAGGCAGCGAUCAGUAGCUGGUCUGAGAGGACGAUCAGCCACACUGGGACUGAGACACGGCCCAGACUCCUACGGGAGGCAGCAGUGGGGAAUUUUCCGCAAUGGGCGAAAGCCUGACGGAGCAAGACCGCGUGAGGGAGGAAGGCUCUUGGGUUGUAAACCUCUUUUCUCAGGGAAGAAGCUCUGACGGUACCUGAGGAAUCAGCCUCGGCUAACUCCGUGCCAGCAGCCCGGUAAUACGGAGGAGGCAAGCGUUAUCCGGAAUUAUUGGGCGUAAAGCGUCCGCAGGUGGCGAUUCAAGUCUGCUGUCAAAGCACGGGGCUUAACUCCGUAAAGGCAGUGGAAACUGAAUAGCUAGAGUGCCGUAGGGGUAGAGGGAAUUCCCGGUGUAGCGGUGAAAUGCGUAGAGAUCGGGAAGAACAUCGGUGGCGAAAGCGCUCUACUGGACGGCAACUGACACUCAGGGACGAAAGCUAGGGGAGCGAAUGGGAUUAGAUACCCC
rnacentral:rRNA from 1 species